rnacentral:rRNA from 1 species
AACGAACGCUGGCGGCAUGCCUACACAUGCCAGUCGAACGAGACCUUCGGGUCUAGUGGCGCACGGGUGCGUAACGCGUGGGAACCUGCCCUUAGGUUCGGAAUAACUCCCCGAAAGGGGUUCUAAUACCGGAUAAUGUCUUCGGACCAAAGAUUUAUCGCCUUUGGAUGGGCCCGCGUUGGAUUAGCUAGUUGGUAGGGUAAAAGCCUACCAAGGCGACGAUCCAUAGCUGGUCUGAGAGGAUGAUCAGCCACACUGGGACUGAGACACGGCCCAGACUCCUACGGGAGGCAGCAGUGGGGAAUAUUGGACAAUGGGCGAAAGCCUGAUCCAGCAAUGCCGCGUGAGUGAUGAAGGCCUUAGGGUUGUAAAGCUCUUUUACCCGGGAUGAUAAUGACAGUACCGGGAGAAUAAGCUCCGGCUAACUCCGUG